rnacentral:lncRNA from 1 species
CUAACUAAAAUUGUCGGAUAAAAUUGCACAUGCAAAAAUUUUGCGGCCGCACAAUUGUGUGUGUGGUCCUUACAUUGAGACAUGUUGACAAGUUGGACUUCUAUGGCCGCACAAUUCUGGAUUGCGGCAUCAUUCAUUCAACUUCUGCGGACCGCGUUAUUCUGAGUGCGGACGAACUCUUGAUUCUGCAGCCGCACAAUAAUGGUGCAGUCUGUAUUUCUUGACCUUGGACUUUGGCAUAGGGGACUUUUGCAAACCGCAUAUCUCUGAGUGCGGCCGCGCUGUUGAUUCUGCAGCCGCACAAUCCGCAUUUUUUCAUGACUUUAAAUUCCCAUCUCUCGGAACUUUAUCU